UGGCUCAGGAUGAACGCUGGCGGCGUGCCUAACACAUGCAAGUCGAACGGAGCAUUGACGCUGAUGAGAGAAUUAGCUUGCUAAGGAACGAGUCUUGUUAAUGCUUAGUGGCGGACGGGUGAGUAACGUGUGGAUAACCUGGUCCAUCCAGGGGGAUAGCAGCGGGAAACUGCUGAUAAUACCGCAUAAGCGCACAUUACCGCAUGGUAGAGUGUGAAAAGAUUUAUCGGGAUGGAAUGGAUCCGCAUCUGAUUAGCCAGUUGGCGGGGUAAAGGCCCACCAAAGCGACGAUCAGUAGCCGGCCUGAGAGGGCGGACGGCCACAUUGGGACUGAGACACGGCCCAGACUCCUACGGGAGGCAGCAGUGGGGAAUA
rnacentral:rRNA from 1 species